rfam:Brachypodium distachyon strain Bd21 chromosome 3, whole genome shotgun sequence.
UAUAUACUUCCUCCGUCCAAUAAAAGAAUGUCUCAACUUUGACUAAAUUUGAAUGCAUCUAUACACUAAGUCAUGUGUUAUAGUUACAUCUAAAUUUUGACAAACUUAAAACAUCUUUUGUUGGACGGAGGAGUAUUUU